AGUUCGAUUCUGGCUCAGGAUGAACGCUGGCGGCAUGCCUAAUACAUGCAAGUCGAACGGAGUGAAGCCUUCGGGUUUCAUUCAGUGGCGAACGGGUGAGUAAUACGCAGGGAACCUGGCCAUGGCAGGGGGAUACACUCUGGAAACGGAGCAUAAGACCCCAUAGGCAGUAAGGCGGCAUCGCCUUACUGUUAAAGAAAGCUGAAAGGCUUUGGCGAUGGAUGGACCUGCGGUGCAUUAGCUUGUUGGUGAGGCAACGGCUUACCAAGGCGAUGAUGCAUAGCCGGCCUGAGAGGGCGGACGGCCACACUGGGACUGAGACACGGCCCAGACUCCUGCGGGAGGCAGCAGUAGGGAAUUUUCGUCAAUGGGCGCAAGCCUGAACGAGCAAUGCCGCGUGAGUGAGGAAGGUCUUCGGACUGUAAAGCUCUGUUGCCGGGGAAAAAGGGGAAAUGCAGGAAAUGGCAUUUCAUGGAUGGUACCCGGCCAGAAAGCCACGGCUAACUACGUGCCAGCAGCCGCGGUAAUACGUAGGUGGCGAGCGUUAUCCGGAAUGAUUGGGCGUAAAGGGUGCGCAGGCGGUCUGUUAAGUCUGAAGGCAAAGGGAUGAGCUCAACUCAUUUAUGAUUCAGAAACUGGCAGACUUGAGGACAGGAGAGGGCGGUGGAACUCCAUGUGUAGCGGUAAAAUGCGCAGAGAUAUGGAAGAACACCAGUGGCGAAGGCGGCCGCCUGGCCUGUGACUGACGCUGAGGCACGAAAGCGUGGGGAGCAAAUAGGAUUAGAUACCCUAGUAGUCCACGCCGUAAACGAUGAGGAGCAGGUGUUGGGAGUGAAAUCUCAGUGCCGAAGCCAACGCAGUGACUCCUCCGCCUGGGGAGUAUGCACGCAAGUGUGAAACUCAAAGGAAUUGACGGGGGCCCGCACAAGCGGUGGAGUAUGUGGUUUAAUUCGAAGCAACGCGAAGAACCUUACCAGGUUUUGACAUCGGAUGCGAAGGCGCAGAGAUGCGCUGGAGGCUAUCAUCCAGACAGGUGGUGCAUGGUUGUCGUCAGCUCGUGUCGUGAGAUGUUCAGUUAAGUCUGGCAACGAGCGCAACCCCCGUGGUAUGUUACUAACGCUUUAGGGCGAGGACUCAUAUCAGACUGCCGGUGACAAACCGGAGGAAGGCGGGGGAAGAACGUCAAAUCAUCAUGCCCCUUAUGACCUGGGCUACACACGUACUACAAUGGCGUCUACAGAGGGAAGCGACCCUGAGAAGGGAAGCGAAACCGGAAAAGGGCGUCCCAGUUCGGAUUGAAGUCUGCAACCCGACUUCAUGAAGAUGGAAUCGCUAGUAAUCGCGGAUCAGCAUGCCGCGGUGAAUACGUUCCCGGGCCUUGUACACACCGCCCGUCAAACCAUGGAAGCCGGCAACGCCCGAAGCCGGUGGCAUAACCUUUUAGGAGUGAGCCGUCGAAGGCGGGGCCGAUGACUGGGGUUAAGUCGUAACAAGGUAACC
rnacentral:rRNA from 1 species